rnacentral:tRNA from 1 species
GCAGUCGUAGCGUAGUGGUAGCGUUCGAGCCUUCCAAGCUCGAGGCCCGGGUUCGACCCCCGGCGACUGCA